AAUGGCAGCCCACUCCAGUACUCUUGCCUGGAGAAUCCCAUGGAUGGAGGAGCCUGGUGGGCUGCAGUCCAUGGGGUCACGAAGAGUCAGACAUGACUGAGUGACUUCACUUUGACUAUUCACUCUCAUGCAUUGGAGAAGGAAAUGGCAACCCACUCCAGUAUUGUAGCUUCUUACUUUUCUUUGAUAAGUUCCUUUGAGGUCACUUGCUUAGAUGCUCCAGAAAUUAAGGCUAUAAAUAACAAUCACUGCAGAAGAGAGGAAUGCUGGGCUUCAAGCCUUGGAAAUGUUGCCACCAAGUCACCAAGUCCUUCACCUCAGCCUCUCUGGUCAGUAACCAGCAGACACUGGCAGCAUGCAGAAAUCUCAUCCCUUAUCCACUAUCAUGUUGUGACUAUUAAAGAGCUUGGCUGCAGAGUGAAUCAUCAAUCUAUUGAUUUUAGAAGUAUCUUUCUGCUCUGUGGGAAGAAAAAAGAGACACCAGUAUUAAGUGAAAACCUGAAGGUCAAUACAGAUAUGAAGAAUUACCAUCAAGAAGAUGUUGCUUUCCUAAAAAGAUGAAAUUCUAAAUUCUAUACUCCCCUCCCCAAAUAGUAUAAGAAAAUUCUAAGGAAAAAUGCAACUUGGUAUACUAAAAACAAAUAAAGAAGAAAGCAUACAAACCAAUGGAGCUAAUAUGCAAAUAAAAACUUGUGUUCAAAUUCUAUA
rnacentral:lncRNA from 1 species